AUCUCUUGGUUCUGGCAUCGAUGAAGAACGCAGCGAAAUGCGAUAAGUAAUGUGAAUUGCAGAAUUCAGUGAAUCAUCGAAUCUUUGAACGCACAUUGCGCCCCUCGGUAUUCCGGGGGGCAUGCCUGUUCGAGCGUCACC
rnacentral:rRNA from 1 species